CCGAGUCUUCGCACUCAAAUAACCCUUCUGUGGACCUGAAUAAAACCGUUGCCUCGGCGGGCGGCCCCACCUGCGGGCCGGACAGCCCGGUCGCCUUCCAGGCGCCGGCGCCAGCCGCUGGCCCCAAAACAAAAACUCUAGUAACCUUUGCCUUCUGAGUUUUAACGCAAGAAAUAAAGUCA
rnacentral:misc_RNA from 1 species